UAUUGAUUAAGUUAUUACAUAUGUGUCCUUAUCCCAUGAAGGCGAAGGGGCUGCUCACCUUAAGCAGGCGGCUCCUGCCACGGGUGGACGGGCCCAGCCGCCACCCACCUUUCCUGCCAUCCCCACUCCCCCUUUGAGCAGGUGGAGCUCCGCGGCGCUUUGCAGGAAGUCGUGCUGCAGCUCGGGAGGCUGCGGGACUUCUUCCCCCUCUCCCACACCACUUCCAACCUGGCGCUCACCACCUGCCGCCGCCUCCUGGCUUCAGCGACGAUAAGGGAGAGCUUACUCCACAUUGUCACCAUCGCCUGCUUGAGACUUGCUGCGAAGGUCAAUGAGAAGAGGAGGUAGGCGCCCCUGGAGUCCACUCUGGACUGCUCUUGGAGGUCUCAGGGUGUAACACUGGAGCACUCAAGUUUCCUGUGUACUUGGGAAUGUUAAUUCCACGCAUAAAGGACUUCAUCAAGUACUGCGGCUCUGACUAUACCCCAAGAGAGGUGCUAAGGAUGGAGCUGGCUAUUUUGGACAAACUGCACUGGGAUCUCUGUAUUGGGACGCCGCUGGAC